AUUGAACGCUGGCGGCAGGCUUAACACAUGCAAGUCGAGCGGAGCGAAGGUGCUUGCACCUUAGCUUAGCGGCGGACGGGUGAGUAAUGCUUAGGAAUCUGCCUAUUAGUGGGGGACAACGUUUCGAAAGGAACGCUAAUACCGCAUACGUCCUACGGGAGAAAGCAGGGGAUCUUCGGACCUUGUGCUAAUAGAUGAGCCUAAGUCGGAUUAGCUAGUUGGUGGGGUAAAGGCCUACCAAGGCGACGAUCUGUAGCGGGUCUGAGAGGAUGAUCCGCCACACUGGGACUGAGACACGGCCCAGACUCCUACGGGAGGCAGCAGUGGGGAAUAUUGGACAAUGGGCGAAAGCCUGAUCCAGCCAUGCCGCGUGUGUGAAGAAGGCCUUUUGGUUGUAAAGCACUUUAAGCGAGGAGGAGGAGCUUCAGGUUAAUACCCUGGAUGCUUGGACGUUACUCGCAGAAUAAGCACCGGCUAACUCUGUGCCAGCCGCCGCCGUAAAAC
rnacentral:rRNA from 1 species